rnacentral:lncRNA from 1 species
UUUUUAGGGAUGCAGGUGUGGUGUAUGGGAGUUCCCAGGAUGAGGGUCGAAUCUGAGCUGGAGCUGCCAGCCUACACCACUUCUGAAUAUCUGAGCAUCUCUCUAAACGUUCUGAAUAAAAUAAAAUAUUGUUGAAUGACCUGAGCUGGUCUUUCUGGAAAAUUCAAAAGUAUAUUAAAAUUGUGGGAACAGUUCCUUGAAAAUGAGAUUAGUUCUGGCCUCAGAGAAAAAUAAAGUGUUUUCUUACAUGAAAAUUUAGUAGGUAAUUCAUAUAUCUUAUGAAAUGCAGAUGAUUCUUAGCUGAGCAAGACCAUCCAGUCCACCACAGGGCACCUAGCAACCUUGCCUUUUGCCAAUUAUUGUGAAACUAGAACAAAAUCCUGACACAGGUACAAAACUCCUAGGAUGGAGUCCCUGUGAAGAACCACUGCUCUAAGUAUGCUCCUAAUCAAAAAUUUUGUGUAAAAUAUUUAUAACCAAGUAUAUAUCAUAAAACAAGCUACAAAUAUAAGACUCUGGAAUGUUUUCAUAGUGGUAAAAUAUUCUAAGUCCAAUAAAAAUUUUAUAAAAAUUACAUAUACAUAUAUACAUUUAUAUGCAUACAUACAUAUACACAUUUGUGUGUGUAUAUAUACAUGUGCAUAUAAAUAAAUAAAUGGAGAGAGAGGGAAAAGGAGGGAGGAAAGAAAGGAAUGAAGAAAGAGUAAGAGAGAACUAGAAAAAGUCCAGUGUGUCCUGUUUUAUUAUGGACAUGUAAAGACAUAAAAACACAUUUCACAUAAGCUGCUGAAGUAGAUAGACUUUAAGGUCCUUUCCACUCAUAAGAUAUAGAUAUCUGUGAUUCCUUAACGGUCCAUAAAUAUGCCAUAAAAAUAAGUUGCUUGUUAUAACACAAAUCAAUAACAACUUUUGCUAGAAUCUCAAGAGUCUAAAAUGACUGUCUAAAAGGAUUUAAUUUGCCUUUAUCUAUAACAAGUACGUCAACUUUUAACUGAUCCUUUUUGGCCACAAUAAAUAGUCUUCUUUUUAAGCAGGUAAUUAAAGAUAAUGUUGUUUUCUUUAGAGCUACACUCACAUUGGGCAUUCUUUUCACAAUCAUUGCAAGACCAAAGGCUUCAUUUCUUUAUGGGAUUUAGAUGAGCCUCUUGAAUCAUAUUUGGCUGUUCCUUCCUUUGCUCUUGCCAUCUUCCCACCAUUCAAAAGUUACAACAGUGUCAAUAUGUGGACAAUAAGUGCAAAGCAAGAUCUCUCAGCCCGUGCUGAAGAAAGUGUGUGUACACUUGUAACUUGCAUUAGAGAUGGCAGUGGGGUUUGUCAACUUCCUGGACAAAAUUUUAAUCAAGGGUAAGAACCACCUUCUUUUCCAACUCUAGCUGGUUCUAUGACAAUCACCCAGCAUCAUCAAUGCAGUGCUAUUCUGUAAACUAGUGGGAAAAUGCAGAAGGAAGUGAAUUAUGGGGGUAAAUAACACUGGAUGCAAAACAUCUCUUUGUGACUGUCAGCCUACCAAGCAGUAUUUCUAAUGGAACAAAUUUUUAGCUCUUGAAUUUUUAAAUUUUCUCAGACCCACUGUCUUAGGACAUAUCCAGUCCAUAACUAAGAGGGUAUGGACAUCAUUUAAUUAAUCCUCUAUUUACCUAUGCAUUUCCCCUUUCAACUGGCAAAUUUUUACUUAUAGGUUAAAUAUUGAAUAUUCUCAAAGAGGCUCAAAUACAUCAGUGUUCAAUGAGAAUGUUUUGGUUAUCUUCAAUCAAUAGAAAACUUUGGAAACAGAUCCCUAGACCAAAGAGAAAUUGGUUAACUUAUUUAAUGGUCAUAAUAACCAGAUAACUGUCACUGCCCCCAUAUAUUUAGAUGGGGAAACAGACUCAGUAACACUGAGUAAUUUUAACAAGCUUAAAUACCUAGUAAGUGAUCUUACGCCAGGCUUAUUUCAAACUCUGACUCUUAAAACAGUUAGUCCAGAUGGAGAAAUUCUAAAAUGGGUCAUGUGAAUAAACUAAUUUUUAAUUGGUUUUGGUUCUAGAUGCUCAGUGCUCCUGCGAUCAAUUCAUUUUCCCGAGGGUUUGUUUUUGGUAUGGCUUUGUUUAGGACAGAGCCAUCAGAAAGGCAAUCUCUACCUCCACCAGAUCCGAAUGUGUCCCCUACUGUCAUGAAUGACACCCAAGACACAAACUUAGGUAUCCAACAAUAAGCUCAAAAGUCAUGUGCUUCCUCCUGAAACUCAGACUUCUUUUAGAAAAGCUUUAUUGAGAUCCUUAUGCUUAUAUCUAACUCCUACAGGGAAUUUCACAGAAGAGAUAUUUAUUAUGUGCCAUCAGAUUAAAACCUAGAGAAAAAAAGGAUAACAGAAACAAAGCAAGAAUCAUCUUAGGAAAAAUCAGAAGCUACUGUGCAAACACAAUCCAGAAGUCAGUUUAUAGGAACCUCUGCUUCCUUUAUAAAACUCUUCCUGUAAGUGCCUGCUCACUGGCAACUGAUCAUGAAAUAGAUGGGAAGAGAAGCCAACAGGACAUUCCCAUAAUGCCUUGCCUUAUGGUUUCACUAUCAAGCUGACGUGUCUUCUGUGAUGUUCCAGCCCCAAUUAUCAAUCAAGAAGAGUUUUCCCAGCUCCUAAGCCCAAAAGUACAAAUUGGCAAUCUGGACCUUCAACAUGCUUAUCAUUGUUCAAAAAAUUCAUUUUAAAAGUGGUCCUUCUUUAUUAGAGGGACAGUAUGCUAUUUCUUUCUUAAGAGUGUUACCUCAGAGCUCCCUUUGUGGCUCAGUGGUUAAUAAACCCAACUAGGACCCAUGAGGAUGUGGGUUCAAUCCCUGGCCUUGCUUAGUGGGUUAAGGAUCCGGCAUUGCCAUGAGCUGUGGUGUAGGUUGCAGAUGUGGCUUGAAUCCUGAAUUGCUGUGGCUGUGGUGUAGACUGGCAGUUGCAGCUCCAAUUCGACCCAUAGCCAAGGAACCUCAUUAUGCCUCAGGGUGGCCCUAAAACAGCAAAAAUAAAAUAAAAUAAAAGUGCUACCUCCUGGCUAUAUUGUCUCCCCAGUCUGGAGAUAGUAUUCCUCCCAAGAAGAAAAUAUAGAUGAACUCAAUUCUGCCCAGGUCAUAGCAAAGAAACUGUAAGCAUUCCUUCUGGCAAGAGUGUUGUUUGUGUAACUUCUGUUGUUGGAGGAGUGAUGGGGAAUUGGUAUGGGGGCACCUCAAACACUGGAUUCCCAAGAACAGGCAUUUUCCCCAUGCAUUAACCCCUCCAAAUAGACAGGAAAGGAGAGAUUUCAAUUCCAUCCCACCCCUCAAAAGCAACACUUUGGUGGCCACUGGCCAGUCUUUUUUUCCUGGAAAAAAGGUGUUGGCAACCCUGAAAAUAACAGCUAAAACUCCGGGAUAGCCUGUCACUUGUUUGGGUGUUGAUUUGGGGGUGUUGUUUGCUUAGUAUGGAUUAGCAGGGCAAUACUGACUUUAGAUAGAGAUGAAGUGUAAGAAACCCUGUGUCUCAGAGUGACAUCUGAUUCAUCACAAAGGAUUUCCCUCUUUGACCCCAAUGAGUCACUUGUAUGCUGAAAUCUGGAAGACAUAAGCAAAAUCAAUAAGAGGCCAUCUCUACUAUGAGACAUUUUACCUCAAAUCUCCCAAUUUCUCAAAAGACAAGGCAUGCAGCUAAAAUCUAGUCCAUCUAGCAAUUUAAAUUUCAGCAUUAACAUAAAGAGUGAACAUGCCGGAGUUUCCCGUUGAGGCACAGUGGUUGACAAAUCUGACUGGGAGCCAUGAGGUUGCGGUUGGAUUCGUUAACCACUGUGCCACGAUGGGAACUCCGCAGGCACAUAUCUUGAUACGUGACCACACACAAAAAUUUUGAGAUCAUUGUGAUGAUUCCUCCCUACCUACUAAUAACUACUUUCUGCUACUUUCAGAGAAUCUUAGAAGAAUUCUGGUCCCAUUUUGCAGAUAAACAAUUGUAGUCAGAGGCAGAUAGUUGCCAAUAUCUUCCCAAUAAUGUAUGUUAUAGCUAUGAGAAUGUUCAGCACUUUCAGUUCCCAAGAAAUCAGGAAUCUCAUAUAUCUGCUUCAAGUCACUGAUUUGGGUGCGUAUUUCAGGGUUACGAGUAUUUGUGUCAUGGACCAGGGACACUGAGUGGUUUGAAUGUGCUCAUCAGCUGACUGACAGAACAGGAACCAAUGAGGAGAUGAAAGGGAUGAGUGGACUCUAGAUUCCUCCCUUUAGAUCCUUUACCCUCACAUCUACCUUCACCCCCACAGCUGGAUCUAAUAGCAGCUACCUGGGAGGAGAGAAAGCAGGCAGAAAAGAAGAAAAGGAGCAAACCUGCAGACGUAAUAGACCAUGCUCUAGCCCAUUCUGGUCCAGAGGAUACACGUGGGCAUAGAUCCCUCUUUAUGUGCCCCAACAGUGCCUGCCAAUCUGAACACAAAGUCGACUUUCAGUGGAUUCUUCUACUUUAUCCUCACUUAUUUAAGUCCACACUCACAUUCUUGUUACAAGUGUGGCCAUUUCUAGCUCGGCACAGCAGUUUUCACAUCUUUACAAAGGUUGCUUAUUUGAAGUCAUUCUCUUAAGGACCAAAUUCAGUUACUGCACAGACAAAAAGCCGCUAAAAUUACUUUUAAAUGCUGAUAUUAUUUUUAAAGGGCAAAUCAAUUUCCAAAACCAAAUUAAAGGGAAAAGUCAUUAAAAAGUCAUGGUAUAGCUAAAGCAUGUGUUUAGGUAUGUCAUUUAGUUGCCCAAAUCAAGUUAAAUUCAAACCAAUGAUUUUUUGCCUAAUAGCAAAUAAUUUACAAGACAAAGUACAAAUAUCAAAAGUAAAGGCUGAAUGUUAGAUAUUCUGUUGCAACCUAGUUAAUAGGCGGUACAGAAUGUCACCCAUUCCGCUGAUGAGAUAUCUUCAUGUCUUCCCUUUGUCAUAAUUAUCAAACUUAAGUUUGACAAAUACUUUGCCGUUUGGAAGAAACCAUGCGAAAUUUUAUCUGGAUUAACAGUAACUGUGUGUAUAACUCAACUAAAAGCAUUUCCUUACCCCCCAACUCACAACUUUUCUCUCUACGUGCAUUACUGAAAGCUUAUGGUUAAUGUCUCAGAAGGACACCAUGAGAAUAAAGAGAUACCUUCUACGUGGUAUAAAUCAGAAUAUGCAUUGGCCUUUUAAAGUCCAUUAAAUCCAUAUUCUAAACACUAAACUUUUCCAAGGGUUUUUCUAUCCCUCCAAGCACAAUAUUAAGUUUGCUUACAUCUCAAACUCAAGCAAGAGCUGAAACCCACUUUCAGAAUGAUAUUCUACUUGGUGACUAUGUGGACUGUACUCAGUUGGAAAUGACAAGCCUUGUAACAGAAUCCUGUUGUCAUCCUGUCUCACGUCCUUACAAAACAAGAGGUUCGUGAUUUUCCUUUUUCAAAUGGCAGCAGGAAUUGUCAGACCUUUCUUCAAGGACUCUGGAAGAUAUCACCUGAAAUGUACCCAAUUAAUGGCAGAAGGGGAAGAAGUGUCAGAUCAUGUUAUCUGCUCACAAUAGGUCAUUGUAGGUCUAGGACUUUUUCACAAAUGAUUUAGAAAAAAGGUUUUGUCCAUCAAGAGAAGAGGAAGGAAAGCAACCUCUCAAUGUUGGGCUCUGCCUGUGCCCCUGUCUUCCAUCACAACUUCAAAUUCAGGGAGGACUUUAAUUCUAUCGGACUGCACCAUAGCUGUUGCAAAGUUGCAAUGGCCAUGAUAUGGAAAGUCAAUUUUCCUGGGAGAAUCAGAGGAAAAGUUUGUGGUUUUGCUGCAUGGAUUUUUCCUUCUUUUUCAUUUUUUUGACUAUAUACAAUUGGUUUAGAUUUUAACGGGGGGGGGGAGUUUUUAAUUACUAUUUUAAAAGCUGAUCAUCAAUUUUGAACAGUGCCUCCAUUGUUCAAUAUGUGCAUCCCCUUGUCAACAUAAAGAGGACAUGGUAUUAAUUAUGCACAGACAUCUGUGUCAUACCAAUAUACUUUAUCUGAAUAGGACAGCACUAGUCUUCCCUUAAAAUGGGCAUUGUAAUCCACUCGACAUUGAGGUAUUGGGCUAAGGAAGAAUGUUCUAGACCAUAAAUGGUGCAUGAUUUUAGAUAUUCUUUCAGUAGCAUGGCCCUUAUCUUCUCCAUCUGUGCCUUUCUCUUCUUGCCCUUGACCUCUAGACACAAUAUGCUUUAUCAAAAAAAAAAAAUGACAAUGACACAUAAGUGAUACUGUAUUAGAAUGGUCAUUUAAAUAUCACUAAUUUCAACAGAGAAAAAUUCAACUAAUUUCUGCCUCUUGGUGGAACAGAAAUAGUCAGUUAACCUCUCUGAAUCUCACCUUUUUAAACAAAAAGCAAUGUUUCUCCCCUACCUACUCAAAACAGUUAUUCUCAGAGUCAAGAGACAACAUGCGAAAGUGUUUUUGAAACAUUUUGAAGAGCCACCACAAAUAUGCAAGGGCAUAGCCAUUAAAGUGAGUUAAAGUCUCAUUUUUUUAACGUAGGUGAAGUAAAAUGGAACUCAUAC